GACGAACGCUGGCGGCAGGCCUAACACAUGCAAGUCGAGCGAGCGGCGGACGGGUUAGUAAUGUGUGGGGAUCUGCCCGAUAGAGGGGGAUAACUACUGGAAACGGUGGCUAAUACCGCAUACUAUCGGCUGAACCCGUAUGGGAUUCGCUAGUAGGUGGGGUAAAGGCUCACCAGGGCGACGAUCGCUAGUUUGUCUGAGAGGAUGAUACGCCACACGGGAACUGAGACACGGCCCAUAUUCCUACGGGAGGCAGCAGUGGGGAAUAUUGCACAAUGGGCGCAAGCCUGAUGCAGCCAUGCCGCGUGUAUGAAGAAGGCCUUAGGGUUGUAAAGUACUUUCAGCGGGGAGGCGUUACCCGCAGAAGAAGCACCGGCUAACUCCGUGCCAGCAGCCGCGGUAAUUC
rnacentral:rRNA from 1 species